rnacentral:lncRNA from 1 species
CAAAAAAAAAAAAAAAAAAAAAGAGAGAGAGAGAGGGAGAGAGAGAGAAAAGAAAAGCAAAAAAGAUGUAGAGAGCAAAACAAUGCGGGAGAUCUGGGCUGCAGCGGCAGAGCGGCUCCGGGAGCUGCUGGCCGCCCGCUCCGCACGGGCACGGCAGGGACAGGGAUAGGGCGGGGGGCACGGCCGCCCGCAGCCCUGAGUGCCGCCGCGGGAGCCACAGCUGUGGACUGGUGUACAUGUGGCUCUUCAUUCCCUUGUGAAAUCCACAAGAGAGGACUGCUGUCUUGUCACACAUUGGAUCCAUUGCUUUCAUGAGAUCCCGAACCAAAACAAAACAAGAUAAACAAUGUCACAAAAACUAAAAGUGCACUGACAUAUGGAAGGGUCUACGCAAGCAAAAGAAUGUUUCUGAGCAAAGAAAUUCUGAACACAAAACAGCAUAUCAAAAUGGAAACUAUAAUGAAAGACAAGAUGAGCCAAGUGAAAUGCUACACUCAGAGCAUAGUCACAUUUUACUUGAAUUCAGCUUUUGGACCUCUUCUUUUCUAAUGGGAUCGCAUGCAACACAGCACACCUCUGUAUUUGGAUCUAAACGUUGUGGUGUAAGGACACGCUCCUGUGUGAGUGGCGGCCAUUUUGUCACAUUCCCGGAGGCCAAUUUGCACACAGGAGAAAGCUGCCGUGUCAUAGAACGUAAAUUAUGCAAGACUGCGUGUCACCUCAGAGAGAUAUACUCUUGCUGACUUGUAAAUUAAAGACAAACCACAAAAGUUCCUAAUUCCUUCACAACAUAACUACUCAUGAGUUUCUGUUGAAAGACUGCCAUCAAAAGGCAAUAAAUCUUCAGGAAAUAAUAUCACAAUGCAAGCUUUAAAGCACUCAUGACUUUUCCCCAACUUUCUCUGGAAUAUUUCUUCCAAAAGAAAGCAGAUGGCAAAAUACUCAGUGGGACUGCUUUUGCAUUCAAACCCUCCCAGGGGUUUCCAUUAAUUCGAGUUGUCUCUACACAGACACAGACACGAACAGAAAUAGCUGUCCAUCUUUCCUUAGGAUCACCAUGUUUUUUUCCUCAAAGUGCUUCGCUUUAUCGGACGUAUUAUUUGAAACUAGCAUCGCUGCUAGGUGCAUUUGCACUCCAGAAACACAAUGAGAGAAAAUACAAAUUAACACUUCUGGCUGAAGUGAAUUUACAGAUCCAGGAUGUGUCAGGGUCCAGCCUGGACCCAUCCUUCUCCUGUGAGGCCGUGGGACAGAGGACAGAGGACCCGACCUUUCUCUGCCAGCCUAGCUGCGUGGCAGGGCAAAAACAGGUCUGCUGUGGAAGUCAGAGACCACCACUGAGCUGAAGUUUCUCAAGAAGCUGAAUUACUGUGGAGGAUUAGGUUUAUUUAUUUACUGAUGUACCAGGGAAAAACAAACCCCUGAAAAGACAGAUUUUCAGAGCUGGCCUCAUUCUGUCUCUAUUGAUGUCAGAAACAUCCACUGAAACAAAAUAAAUCCAAUGUUGGACGAUUCCAAAGAUCUCACUUUUGUAAAGCACAAAGGAGUUCACAGCAACUUCAUUAGUGGCAUUGCAGUAACGAACAAAGCGCAGCCGGGUGCAG